UUGAUACAAAUGUGUGAAGCUAUUAUAUACCAUUUUUUUAUUUUAAUUUAUUUUACAUUUAUUAACAGAAUAUGCAGACUAGUUCAAGAAUCAUUUUCAGCCAUGAUCCUAUUUUACUAUAACAUGGAGACUGUUUCAUCAUAUACAGAAAAGUUAGGCACCUGUUCCUAUUAAGAAAAUAAUUAAAACUUUAUUUGUAUUGAGUAUAAAAUAACACAAAUCCAAAGUACAAGAAAGAAAUAUAAUAAAAGGUCAUACAAAGAAUAUUUAGCAAGAAGAUUAUACUUACUCUGUGUGUCAGACUUUUGCAGAUGUUUUUGAAAUGGAUUAUAAUUUUACAAUGGCACAAUUGGAGAAGUAUCACUUAUCUUAAUGGGCAUCUCCUCCAGUUUGAAAAUCCUGACCGUAAAUACUAUAUGAAUUUAAGCAACAGAUAGGACAUCACAAGACAGUCCUGCAUUUAUUAUUCCUAUUUCCAUACAUACUGCAAUAAGAAUUAGAGCUAUCCAAGAUGUUAGAAAUGAACAUGUUGAAAUAUACAUCAGUGCUGUACUUGGAGGUCAGCAUCAUCUAAUUUACUCAAAGAUAAUCAGAUAUUAACUCGGCGACAUGGAGGGGAGUCAGUCACAGUGUCUCCCAGUUCAUAGUAUGAUGGAGGCCUUGCACAUAGUAGUUUUACAAAUCACUUUUUAUCUGCGACACAAAGGGCAAUCCUUCAUGAAGAGUGCAGGUACAGCACACAAACUGCAGGUACAGCAUCAUAAUCUGGGGGUUUCAUGCAGGUACAGCAUCAUAAUCUGGGGGCUCCAUGCAGGUAGAGCACACAAACUGCAGGUACAGCAUCAUAAUCUGGGGGUUUCAUGCAGGUACAGCAUCAUAAUCUGGGGGCUCCAUGAAGGUACAGCACACAAACUGCAGGUAUAGCAUCAUAAUCUGGGGGUUUCAUGCAGGUACAGCAUCAUAAUCUGGGGGCUCCAUGCAGGUACAGCACACAAACUGCAGGUACAGCAUCAUAAUCUGGGGGCUCCAUGCAGGUACAGCAUCAUAAUCUGGGGGCUCCAUGCAGGUACAGCAUCAUAAUCUGGGGGCUCCAUGCAGGUACAGCAUCAUAAUCUGGGGGCUCCAUGCAGGUACAGCACACAAACUGCAGGUACAGCAUCAUAAUCUGGGGGUUUCAUGCAGGUACAGCAUCAUAAUCUGGGGGCUCCAUGCAGGUAGAGCACACAAACUGCAGGUAUAGCAUCAUAAUCUGGUGACUCCAUGUG